rnacentral:rRNA from 1 species
AUUGAACGCUGGCGGCAGGCCUAACACAUGCAAGUCGAGCGGAGCGGCGGACGGGUGAGUAAUGCCUAGGAAUCUGCCUGGGAGUGGGGGAUAACGUCCGGAAACGGGCGCUAAUACCGCAUACUCUCAGAUGAGCCUAGGUCGGGUUAGCUAGUUGGUGGGGUAAAGGCCUACCAAGGCGACGAUCCGUAACUGGUCUGAGAGGAUGAUCAGUCACCAUGGAACUUAGAACCGGUCCAGACUCCUACGGGAGGCAGCAGUGGGGAAUAUUUGACAAUGGGCGAAAGCCUGAUCCCGCCCUUCCGUGUGUUGGAAGAAGGUUUUCGGAUUUUAAAGCACUUUAAGUUGGGAGGCGUUACCAACAGAAUAAGCACCGGCUAACUUCGUGCCAGCAGCCGCGGUAAUUC